AUUGAACGCUGGCGGCAUGCCUUACACAUGCAAGUCGAACGGCAGCACGGGAGCAAUCCUGGUGGCGAGUGGCGAACGGGUGAGUAAUACAUCGGAACGUGCCCAGUAGUGGGGGAUAACUACGCGAAAGCGUAGCUAAUACCGCAUACGCUGUGAGCAGGAAAGCGGGGGAUCGCAAGACCUUGCGCUAUUGGAGCGGCGGAUGUCAGAGUAGCUAGGUGGUGGGGUAAAAGCUCACCAAGGCGACGAACUGUAGCCGGUCUGAGAGGACGACCAGCCACACUGGGACUGAGACACGGCCCAGACUCCUACGGGAGGGAGCAGUGGGGAAUUUUGGACAAUGGGGGCAACCCUGAUCCAGCCAUGCCGCGUGUGCGAAGAAGGCCUUCGGGUUGUAAAGCACUUUUGGCAGGAACGAAACGGUUUGCGUUAAUACCGCGAACUAAUGACGGUACCUGCAGAAUAAGCACCGGCUAACUACGUGCCAGCAGCCGCGGUAA
rnacentral:rRNA from 1 species